GAGUGCAGCAACCCUGGAAUGUGCUGACAGGAACAAACUGAGGGAGAAACGACACCGAAGGAGCAAAGGUCAUAAAGUGCAGAAGGGGCCGGAGAUGGUGGCUGAUGGGGCUUUGGGGGAUGGGAAAUGGACGAUGGCUGCAAUAAUGUGCGUGAGGUUACAGUGGGCUGAGCUGCGGGAGCGCCGUGCUAAUGGGGCAGAAAGCAAUCAGGGGCUUUGGUAAUGGGGCUGAGGGGGGAAGGGGCGCUGACCCACGGGUGCCGUGUGCUCUCUCAGCCCUGUGAUGCUCCCCGUGCUCUGCGACAGCGUGGAGCCAAAGGAGGUUAUUGGGACGGGAGGAAGCAUUUGUUCGACCCAUUUGUUCUUAUGGGGCUGCGUGCUGCAGGGGGUGCCGGCACAAUGGGGUGAGCACCUCGUGGUUGGGGUCCUCCCGGGGCGCCCCUAUCCUUGCGUGCAGUGAGAGGGGCUCUGUGCAAAGCCUCCGGUGUGGGUCUGAGUGCAGACGUGGGGGUGGGAGGAGGAUGGGCAGCUCGGAAAGCAUUGCACGGCAGCAGAGCCACGGGAGCUGUGUUAAUUCAAAGCAGAACAGAGUCUGGGGUGCUCAGAACUCGUGGAGAAGUGGAUCUGUGGCUCAGUGAUGGGCUCUAACUCAGUUAGCUCUGAUGCUGGUGUGCGGACUUAACCUCAUUUUAAAGCUCUUCCCAGCAGAUGCUCUGCUGUGCAGCAUGGGUGGUGCUCGCUCUGCUCCCCAGUUUGCCCAGCGCUGAGUGUGGGAUGUGGCACAGUGUCCUGGGGGUGAAAUGAGCACUGAGGUCAUGAAGACAGCUGCACACCCGAGAUCCCUACAAGAGGAUUUGCUUUGUCUCCAUUGUAAUGCCCUUAUGGCAUCCAUGGCAUGGAUAGGGCCAUGAAUCGACCUCUGCACUGCAUUCCAUUGCAUUGCUUUGCACUGGGUUGGGGUUGCACUGCAUUCUGUUGCAUUGCUUUGCACUGGGUUAGCAUUGGGGUUGCACUGCAGUCUGUUGCAUUGCUUUGCACUGGGUUAAGGUCAGGGUUGCACUGCAGCCUGUUGCAUUGCUUUGCACGGGGUUAGCGUUGGGAUUGCACUGCAGUCUGUUACAUUGCUUUGCACUGGGUUAAGGUCAGGGUUGGUGUUGCACUGCAUUCUGUUGCAUUGCUUUGCACUGGGUUAGGAUUGCAUUGCAGCCUGUUGCAUUGCUUUGCACUGGGUUAGGGCUGGAGUUUUGUUCUACUGCACUGCUUUGGGUUGCACUGAAUUGCAUUGCAUUGUAUUGCACAGGAGCUGCGGGAGCUGACUUUGGGGCAGAGAGCUGAGCCUCCUCCUUAGCAGUGAACCCACACCUCUGCCCAUGCACAAAGCUGAGGCAGCCACAGGUUUUAAUCAUAAUUAACCACUGGAUGCCAUUAUUCAGCCAUCAGGUAGCAGCCCUGCCAAAGGGCACGGAAUGAAGGCCUGGGCAUUUCUCCCUCCCUUACAAUGCUCACAGCCUUCCUGUGGGCACAGACCCCCCUGGGGGUCCCCUCAGCCCCUUCCCUUUCCCUCAGUGCUGCAGUUCCCACCACUGCCCGCCCCAAUGCUGGGAUGCAUCCCUCAAUCCCAGUGCUCCCAUCAGCCCAACCCCUCAUUAAGCUGCUCACCCCCUCUGCAGUAAUUACUCCUAUUUAUAACUAACCUCACAGAGCCCCUGCCUGCCCCCCCCACCCCCCCCUCCCCUUCCUCCCCUGCUGCUCUCGCUGACACAGAGCUAUUUUUACCCCUUUCCUCCCAGAGAUGCUCCUCUCCCACUUCCAGGCAUGGGAUUUCAAGCAGCUCCAUUGUCACCAUCACCCCAGGGCCACCGUCACGGCCCCGCUGUGUCCCCAUGGAUGGGGCAAUGGGUGCAUGGGGGGGUUGGGGAGACCUGCACAGAUGUGUUCCUAACGAUGGGAGGAAAUAGACCCGCCCUCUGUUUUGCCACCCGCAGUUUUGGAUGGGAUCGCUCCGUUGCAAAGGGGAAGCGCUGCUCUGAGCUCUGCCUUAAUGCCUCUCUGUGCCAUUCCAGUGUGAGUUCAGCUCUGCUGCUCCCCAUGUCUGCAAUGUGUGAGUGUUAAAGGGUUUUGUGGGUGGGUCAGGUUUGUGCAACCCCUCUGCCAGCAGCACAGGUGUGGGAGAAGGGACAUUUUCUAUCCCCUCCAACAUCAAUCCUGCAUAGGGCUCUGCUCAUGAGAGCCUUCAGCAUCCCUCCCCAUUGAGCUGUCAGCAUCAAUCCCCAUAGGACCACCAGCAUCCCUAUGGGGUAACCAGCAUCCCUCCCCAUAGGACCACCAGAAACCCUAUAGGAUCCCAGCAUCCCUCCCAUAAGACCACCAGCACACUUAUGGGGUCACCAGCUUUCCUCUCCAUAGGACAACCAGCAUCCCUAUGGGGUAACCAGCAUCCCUAUGGGGUAACCAGCAUCCCUAUGGGGUAACCAGCAUCCCUAUGGGGUAACCAGCAUCCCUAUGGGGUAACCAGCAUCCCUAUGGGGUAACCAGCAUAUGUCCCCAUAGAACCACCAGUAUCCCACCCCAUAGGGCCGCCAGCAUCCCCAUAGGGCCGCCAGCAUCCCUGCCCUGCAUGCAGCAGUGCCUGCAGGCUGCCAGCUGCCAUGCACAGGGAUUUUUGCCCACGGGUGCUACCUGUGUCCCCUCCCCACGCUGCUCACCCCCCCCCAUCCCCACACACCGCCGGCGCGGUGGCAGAGCUGCAUAUUAUUCAUUCCCACCACACGUCGAAGCCAUCUGGAUGGUGUUGGCCCUUCUGCCACACCGCGGAGGAUUGUUAACACAAAGCAUAUGCUUUGUUUGAAAUUAAUAAUAAUUUGAGGCUCUCACCAGCUGCUGGUAAUUGGCUCCCCUUUCGCUGCGAUAACCAAGAGCAGCGGGGUGGAAAUGCAGCCACUUCCCGGCUCCUGUUCUAAUGAGAUCAGUGCGCGCCCCUGGGAAAGGUGAGUGUGACACAGGUGGGACGUGGCUUUGCAUGAGCAGCUCCAUGCAUCCCAGCUGCAGGGUCUUCCGUGCAUGCCGUGCUCCAAGCAUCAGAGUCACUGGGCAACGCCGUGCAGCAGCAGGGCGGGCUCUGCAAAGGGAAUUGCAUCUGAACAGCGUUGCAUCUGAAUAGCGCUGCACCUGCAGAGUGUUGCAUCUGAACAGCAUUGCAUCUGAACAGCACGGUACCUGCACAGUAUUGCAUCUGCACAGUGUUACAUCCAAACAGCGUUGCACCUGAGCAACACAGUGCCUGCACAGUGUUUGCAUCUGAACAGCACAGUAUCUGCACAGCGUUGCAUCUGAAUAGCAUUGCACCUGCACAGUGUUGCAUCUGAACAGCAUUGCACCUGCUCAGCAUUGCAUCUGAACAACACAGUACCUACACAGCGUUGCAUCUGAACAGAACAGCACCUGCAUAUCAUUGCAUCUGAACAGCAUUGCGACUGCGUGGCACUGCAUCUGAAUAGCACUGCGCCUGCACUGCUUUGCACCUGCACGGUGUUGCACCUGCACUGCUUUGCACCUGCACAGUAAUGGCAUUGCACUUGCACAGAAGGAGAGGGAGAGAAAGCAGCCCUGGGAUCGGGACCUGCUGCUCACAGGGCCCCGCAGGGCUGUGCCCUCACUGUUUGCCCACAUCCCACCGAAAUCCCACGGGAUCGAUGGGGGUCGGCCGGGUGCACCGCCCCGAGGCCAUGGGAUCGAUGAGGAGUGAAGGAAAUGCGGCCGAAGAUGCGCGGUUUUACAGCUUCCUCCCCAAGAACGGCCGUGCUUUAUGGACUGCUGGUAAUUGCCAAUUAAUUGCGCUGCAGCCGAGGGCAGGAAAGCAGCCCGCAUCCUCCAUACGGGGUGGGCAGGAUAUCAGAGUCCGAAGGUGUUACCACUCCUCCACUUAAUGAAGAAAAAUCACGAUGGAGGCGGCCGGAGGCAACGCAAUGGGAUUGCAGCGGGGAGGAGAGGACUGUGUUAACACCCAUUAAUAAUAAAUAACCGCCAUAAUGAGCUCUAA